UGUUGUAGGGGUUACCGACCGACCAUCAUCAACAUCGCUGAAGCAAUUGAACGGAGGAGGUUCCGCGAGUCAAUGCAAUGGAGCCUGAGGAUGACAUCUUCAUCCCUGAAAAGGUUUUCAUCCUGGAGGAGACUGGAGGCAGAGGAAAGAAGGGUUAGUACAGCAUGCCAAACAGGAAAGAAGGGUUAGUACAGCAUGCAAAACUGAACCCUGGGUGCCAGUGUUCCUGUGCUGCGGUGGAGAAGAGGUCCACCGGGACCAUCACUAAAGCGCUCGGGGCCCAGCUAGAUAGCACUCACGACCAUCAGUAUAUAACCGAGUCCUGGCCCAAUACGCCACAGAUGGAGCUGACGGAGAGUGAGAUCAGUGAAGACCAUAACUCGCUGUAUGAACCUGAGAGCUCAGAAUCCCAAUCAUCACAGUGCGAGCCAAGAUAUACUAUCGAUCACUUUAGGGGAGGGGGCUGGUGUUCUGAAAGUAGAGAAGGAGCAGGCCAUUCAACAGCGAAUUCAAAGAUACACCCAUCUAUAAAGGGAAUCAGAGUGGAACUGUUUUCCACAGAUUUUUUAAAACCCCUUUCAAUGGAUGUGCGACCUUGUCCCGGUCCUGCUGUUUCGACUCCCUCUCUCUCAACCUAUGAAAAGCCAACUGACAUUUGCUCCUGAGGUGUUGAACUGUUGCACCCUCUAUAACCACUGUGGUUAUUAUUUUGAUGUAAAAAGGUAUUUUGUAAAAUACAUUUCAUUGAUUGUUUGCUGUGCUGAAUGCCGUGUAUUCACUAACUGUCAGUGAUGGGACAUAUAGUAUCUGUAACAUACAGAUUGGUGUGUGAAUUUCAUCUGCAUCUUAACUUCUUAAAGUGGCAAUAGAAACAAUAACAAAGUGACUCCCUGCUCCUCUUUUGGUAAAAUGCUGAGGGAUGCGGCUGGAGAAAUGUAACCACUCUCAAAUUCAUAGGCAGUGCUAUAGAUGCAAGGACUGACCAUCCAUGAUA